UAGCUCAGUCGGCAGAGCACCUGUCUGGCAACCGUGAGGUCGACGGUUCGAGUCCGUC
rnacentral:tRNA from 1 species